GGGGAGAGGAGAAGAGAAGAGAGAAGGGAGGAGGGAGAGAGCGAAAGAAGAAAAUGAGAGGGGAAACACAGCCAGACGAACGCUGGUGCUCCUUUUCCCUCCGCUGCUGUGAAACACUAAUGCGAGCUGGAGACGAGCAGAGCGGGGUAGGAGCUCGGGGGACUGGGGCGGAGGGGACGCCCUCGCUCCCACCAGCACGGGACAGGACAGCACAGGACAGGGCAGGGCAGGACGGCCCACGGCCCCUGGACGUCCUCUACACGCGCGGGGCCGGGGCUCGCGUACGCUAAGGUGUGUUAAAGGGUAGCCCCCUAAAAUGCACUGGGGUCUAGACCCUGAGGUGAGCCAGUUCUUGCCCCUCUCCAUCGCUGCAUAGGUAAGUUGGCUGCAUACGAUUCUAAAAUUCUUUUAGAGAAAUUUAAUAACACGCCUGACUUCAAGUUCCUGUAACACACUGUGUGUGAGCGCGCCAGCGUUUCUGUGAGAUCGGGAUGGAAAGUUGCAUUCUCCUUUGGUAACUGAGGCAAUACCCUCCAUGGCGUUUGCACAAUUUAGGUGACAAGCUCUAUUCAAGUCUACAGCACAUGUCCAGCUAUGCCCCCCAGUUCUUUCAGUUACACAAAAGCAUCACGGGCAGAGAGUUGUACAUUAAAACCAAUAGACAAUAGAGAAACCAAUGAAGACUUCAGCCAGUCGCAUAGUCAUUGACUGCUACUGCUACUGCUACUGCUACGGACACAGGAAUCUCUUUCCCGGUUUGUAAAAAAGAAAAAAAAAAACGUAAAAAUAUAAGACAAUAAGAACUCGUAUUUAUAACUACUGACCAUUUCUGAUAUUUGAUACAGGAAUAAAAAAAUAAACAGCCGUUAUAUGUAUCGUUCGUGUUUUCACGGUAUCAAAGUGGGACGGAACUGCAAAGACUCGAGCGCAGCUUCCAAUCACAUGACACUAUGCAGGCAGAGGGGUGGUGAUAAUGCUAAGCAUAUGGUAACCGUGGUAACCUUAGUUCCAUUGUCUCUUCAAAGGAAACUGGAGAAGAUCGGGACCAUUAGUAUGAUCGCAAUUCAGCACUUUCAUGAAGCACUUUCAAAAAUGUGCAGCUGAUAAUUCAGUAGACAUAUCAAUCUCUCUUUCUCUCACACAGACACACACACACACAUGCACACAGCUGCUAUCAAGUAAGCAGAUUCUGUGCACAUGCAAUAAUCUUGUUAGAGCAAUCGUAGCAAUCUCCUACAGUCUAUAGUUUAUACCAGUUACGUACAUCCAGGUAUUUUAUUGCACUUUCUAUGGCUUUCUGAGAGAUUCAGUGCAGAUGUAUGUCGCUCAUGCACGCACACAUUCACACGUGCACGCAUGCACAUGCACAGUCACUUUGCGCAUGCAUAGCCUAGCGUCACAGCUGGCACACAGUUGGCUUCCAGCCAAGAACGUGGCCUUUACGCCCAGGAUAAACCGAUAAACGGCAGGAUCUAGGAAUACAAGCUCAAGCUGUGGUGAUCUUUAAAUGUUGGGAGAAGAUAAAAUGAAAAAAGGUUGAUAAAAAAGUGUAAGAAAAAAAGGUUCUGUUUUAGAGAAGGGGGGUUGAGGGGUUACUGCCGGCCUCUCUGGUAUUUAAGGUUCCUUUUUGCAGGAGGUUUUCAAAGACACAGAAGUCAAAACAACAUGUGUUGUGGACGUGGGAACAGCUGGAAACCCAGUCACAGCUGGCUGUCCCAUCAACAAACAUCUCCCUGAACUGCUAUAGCGCUCGGGUCAGUACUUUAAGAGAAUAGCAAACAAACAUAUUACAUAUUCCCAUCAAUUAUCAAAAUUUAGAGGGAAGCAGCUGUCGGAACAGAUGAAACAAUAGAGAGCUCAAAUAUCAAUGUCCCUAAUGUAGAACGAGAAUAAUUUGUUCAGUCUCUCCAACUGUUUGAGAUUAAUAAUAAAUUAACUGCCCUUCAUGAAUUCACUACUCUUCUACUUUGAAAAACACAAUAAAACUUUUCAUGCACGAAAGGAAACCGAAAAUGUUCCCGCAUUUAUAGAGAAGAUUUAUUUAUUUGUGAUUUUGAAAUUUUCCACUAGGACAAACAACACUUUUAAUCCAUCAAAGAACCACGUUGGUCUCGGGUGCUGUAUAAUUUUGUGGUAGUAAGCUUUUUUUAAACAGCUCUCUUGUUUACAAUGAAAGUGAACAAGACAUAAAAGUGACAGAGGAAGACCACACCAAUAUAUCAGUUGUUUUGGAACAGAACCUGGAGACAUAUUUUCAAUUUGUGGUACAAACAGGCAGGGAAUUAUGCUGUAGGGGGAAAUGUGGAAAGAAAAAAUAAAACUGCUUUACUGAACAGCUGGGCCAUUUCACACCAACUUUCUCACAUUUGACACAUUAACGAAGCGUUGUUGUGUCGGGAGUCGCUAUAUUUUCAUCAUGACUUCUUUUUUUUUUCUCCUCCAUCCAGCAGACUUGAGACAAGUUAGGCGGAGGCGGGAAAGUGAGGUCUACCAACGAGAGCA